rnacentral:rRNA from 1 species
CCUACGGGUGGCAGCAGUGGGGAAUAUUGUACAAUGGGGGAAACCCUGAUGCAGCGACGCCGCGUGAGUGAAGAAGUAUUUCGGUAUGUAAAGCUCUAUCAGCAGGGAAGAAAAUGACGGUACCUGAUUAAGAAGCCCCGGCUAACUACGUGCCAGCAGCCGCGGUAAUACGUAGGGGGCAAGCGUGAUCCGGAUUUACUGGGUGUAAAGGGAGCGUAGACGGUGAUGCAAGUCAGGAGUGAAAGCCCGGGGGGCAAAUCCGGGACUGCGUUUGAAACUGGGUGACUGGAGUGCAGGAGAGGUAAGCGGAAUUCGUGGUGUAGCGGUGAAAUGCGUAGAUAUCAGGAGGAACACCGGUGGCGAAGGCAGCUUACUGGACUGUAACUGACGUUGAGGCUCGAAAGCGUGGGGAGCAAACAGGAUUAGAUACCCGUGUAGUC